GACGAACGCUGGCGGCGUGCUUAACACAUGCAAGUCGAACGGAAAGGCCCUGCUUUUGUGGGGUGCUCGAGUGGCGAACGGGUGAGUAACACGUGAGUAACCUGCCCUUGACUUUGGGAUAACUUCAGGAAACUGGGGCUAAUACCGGAUAGGAGCUCCUGCUGCAUGGUGGGGGUUGGAAAGUUUCGGCGGUUGGGGAUGGACUCGCGGCUUAUCAGCUUGUUGGUGGGGUAGUGGCUUACCAAGGCUUUGACGGGUAGCCGGCCUGAGAGGGUGACCGGCCACAUUGGGACUGAGAUACGGCCCAGACUCCUACGGGAGGCAGAAGUGGGGAAUAUUGAACAAUGGGCGGAAGCCUGAUGCAGCAACGCCGCGUGCGGGAUGACGGCCUUCGGGUUGUAAACCGCUUUCGCCUGUGACGAAGCGUGAGUGACGGUAAUGGGUAAAGAAGCACAGGCUAACUACGUG
rnacentral:rRNA from 1 species